rnacentral:rRNA from 1 species
GAUGAACGCUAGCUACAGGCUUAACACAUGCAAGUCGAGGGGCAGCACAGUGUAGCAAUACAGUGGGUGGCGACCGGCGCACGGGUGCGUAACGCGUAUCCAACUUCCCGUUACUCAGGGAUAGCCUUCCGAAAGGGGAGAUUAAUACCUGAUGGUAUUCAAAUUUCGCAUGUUAUUUGAAUUAAAGAUUUAUCGGUAACGGAUGGGGAUGCGUGACAUUAGAUAGUAGGCGGGGUAACGGCCCACCUAGUCUACGAUGCUAGGGGUUCUGAGAGGAAGGUCCCCCACAUUGGAACUGAGACACGGUCCAAACUCCUACGGGAGGCAGCAGUGAGGAAUAUUGGUCAAUGGACGAAAGUCUGAACCAGCCAAGUCGCGUGAAGGAUGAAGGUUCUAUGGAUUGUAAACUUCUUUUGUCUGAGGGUAAAAAAGCGGACGUGUCCGUUCUUGCAAGUAUCAGACGAAUAAGCAUCGGCUAACUCCGUG